UGAGGUUGUGGCUCAGUGGUAGAGUGCUUGCCUAGCAUGCAUGAGGCACUGGGUUCAAUCCUCAGCACCACAA
rnacentral:tRNA from 1 species